rnacentral:lncRNA from 1 species
GUACAGUGCUCUGCACAUAGUAAGCGCUCAAUAAAUACCAAUUAAUGAAUGAAUAUGCAUUCUCACCACUACGCUGGCUAGAAUGCUACUGAGCAAUUAGGGAGCAUCCCCGAAUGAAUGUGUCCGGGUGCUAAGUAAUUGAUUUCCCCUUGUUUGUAACUUAAAACCUGUCUUCUCCUCUAUCCCUGAUAGGCAGGGAUCAUGGCCACCAACUCUAUCGAAUUGUACUCUCCCAAACACUAAGUAUGGUGGCUCGACACACAGAAAGUGCUCAAUGAAGACCACUCGUCGAUCGAUGUCUGAAGGGGAAGAGUCUGUAUAGAAACACUAAGAACUAACAGCCUAAGAAGGGAUUAAAAAGGUUUAAAGUCUCCUCCACAUACAUGGGUUAGAAGAUGUGUAUCUUUUAACACAUCGGGCUUUCUUGGUUUACUAUAAAUCAAAUGAUUUUGAUAGGAUAUUUAUUUUUUGGAUGGGGAAGGGUCUUGUCCUAAACAUCCAGCUUGCUAAAAUGGAAAACGUGGACGUUUCAAUUAACUCAGAACACCUCCACCUUGCUUUUUUUUUCUUUUUUUUUUUUGCAGAAAGGGGAAAUCCCUCUCUCCCUCCUCCCAGAAAGGGACCAGAAGUUCCAGAGAUCCAGGGGAAACCUUCACUCUGAUUUCUCCACAUUAAGUGGGUGAUAAGAGGAAAUCCAGUGCCACCAGCUUCAUCCAAAGGACAACUUUGGAAUCAUAAUUCAUGCA